UAUACGUUUUGACUUUUCGUCUUAUUUGAAUUUUUUUUGCAAUAAAUAUUUUUAUUUUUACUGGAUGAUAAAACAUGAAUAAUAUUUUAUGCGUGACUAUCUUUUAAAGUUUUUUUUACAAAAUUUUCAAAUAAGAUGAAUCGUCAAACAUUAGACAUGAAAAAACA
rnacentral:pre_miRNA from 1 species